rnacentral:rRNA from 1 species
AUUGAACGCUGGCGGCAUGCCUUACACAUGCAAGUCAAACGGCAGCACGGGAGCUUGCUCCUGGUGGCGAGUGGCGAACGGGUGAGUAAUAUAUCGGAACGUACCCUAGAGUGGGGGAUAACGUAGCGAAAGUUACGCUAAUACCACAUACGAUCUACGGAUGAAAGUGGGGGAUCGCAAGACCUCAUGCUCAUGGAGUGGCCGAUAUCUGAUUAGCUAGUUGGUGGGGUAAAAGCCUACCAAGGCGACGAUCAGUAGCUGGUCUGAGAGGACGACCAGCCACACUGGAACUGAGACACGGUCCAGACUCCUACGGGAGGCGGCAGUGGGGAAUUUUGGACAAUGGGCGAAAGCCUGAUCCAGCCAUUCCGCGUGCAGGAUGAAGGCCCUCGGGUUGUAAACUGCUUUUGUACAGAACGAAAAGGUUUCUACUAAUACUAGGAGCUCAUGACGGUACUGUAAGAAUAAGCACCGGCUAACUACGUGCCAGCCGCCGCUGUAA